rnacentral:rRNA from 1 species
AGAGUUUGAUCAUGGCUCAGAAUGAACGCUGGCGGCGUGCCUAACACAUGCAAGUCGGAUGUGCCGCAAGGUGCAUGGCAGACGGGUGAGUAACGCGUGGAAAACCUACCUCUUUGUGGGGAAUAACGCUCCGAAAGGAGUGGUAAUACCGCAUGAGACCAUGGACUGGGAUGUCCAUGGUGAAACCUGGGGACCGCAAGGCCUGGGGCAAGGAGAGGGUUCUGCGUCUGAUUAGCUAGUUGGUGGGGUAAUGGCCUACCAAGGCGACGAUCCGUAACUGGUCUGAGAGGAUGAUCAGUCACACUGGAACUGAGACACGGUCCAGACUCCUACGGGAGGCAGCAGUGGGGAAUAUUGGACAAUGGGCGAAAGCCUGAUCCAGCCAUGCCGCGUGUGUGAAGAAGGUCUUCGGAUUGUAAAGCACUUUAAGUUGGGAGGAAGGGCAGUAAAUUAAUACUUUGCUGUUUUGACGUUACCGACAGAAUAAGCACCGGCUAACUCUGUGCCAGCAGCCGCGGUAAUACAGAGGGUGCAGGCGUUAAUCGGAAUUACUGGGCGUAAAGCGCGCGUAGGUGGUUCGUUAAGUUGGAUGUGAAAUCCCCGGGCUCAACCUGGGAACUGCAUUCAAAACUGACGAGCUAGAGUAUGGUAGAGGGUGGUGGAAUUUCCUGUGUAGCGGUGAAAUGCGUAGAUAUAGGAAGGAACACCAGUGGCGAAGGCGACCACCUGGACUGAUACUGACACUGAGGUGCGAAAGCGUGNGGAGCAAACAGGAUUAGAUACCCUGGUAGUC